rnacentral:tRNA from 1 species
GGCGAGAUGGCCGAGCGGUCUAAGGCGCCAGAAUCAGGACGGGACGUUCAUGUCUUAUCUGGUCCGAAAGGGCGUGGGUUCGAAUCCCACUCUCGUCA